rnacentral:lncRNA from 1 species
GCUUCGCAGCCAAAGAGCUGCAAGUUGUGUAUUCCUGCACUCUGAAGCAUAAAUAAACUGCAGGAAGCACCACAGGUAAUUUGCCUCUAAAAUGGUAAUUACAAAAAAAAGAAGAGAAAAGUUUGAUGGUUUUCUAGGGCACAGUCCUACAGUAACUAUGGCAAUAUUGUCAUUAAAAUCACAGGGGUUUUGCCUCAUUGAAUAAGGUCUACAGGAGCAAGAUAAUAAUGUAAGGAAAGGUAAAGCAUAUAUGAGGAGAAUCUAAUUUGUCCUCGAGGAAGUCAAGCAAGUCAAACAAUUAUCUCACCAGUGACUUUUGAGAAUGUACAGAGGUUGAGUUUAAGGCAUUUGUGACACAACACCCACAGAGCAGCAGCAAGGGGAGAAUUAAAUGCUUUAGUGUCAUGGAAUCAUUGAAUGGCUGAGGCUGGAAGGGCCCUGUGGGAUUCAUCUCAUCCAGGCUGUGUCACCCACAGCAGCAGCCCAGCAACAUUUCCAAGUGGUUUUGUACAGCUCCAGGGAUGGCAGCUGCAGAGCCUGUGUGGGCAGGAUGUGCCAGUGCCUGGUCAGCCCCACAGUGAGAAGCAGGGGAACCUCUUGCCUUUCAGAGUGUGCCCAUUGCCUCUGCUCCCUUGGAGUCUGUUCAUGUACAGGGUGAAUCAGGCAUCUGAGCAUGAGAUGGCAGGAGGGUUCCUGUGA